GCAGAGAUGAUGCAGCGAGCAACUCCCAUCUUCUGUGCCAGUUCCUUGAAUCAAAGAGGGAAUUCUCCACCAAAGAUUCCCAAAAUAAUAAGAAGUGUAAAAAGGUGGCUUGUAGUCAUCGCCGGAGUUUGAGCUUGACCUUUUUCAGAGGAGUCACAGGAAUAUGGAGGAGGAGUCUGAUCACAACGAAGCAACAGGGACAUUUGAGCUAGAAACCUGUCAGAGCAAGUCCCCUUCUGUGCUUUUCCUCACUAAAGCUGAAGGGGCCUGCCGGUGGCUCUGGAACACCAUGAGAGACAAGAGCCUCCUUCUUCCUGCGGCUCAGGAGAAUACACUGCCAGCCAGAAACCAGGAUUUGAUCAGAGAUGCAGAAAGUUAGUGAAGUAACCCAUUGUGCCAACACACCCUGGACUUGUUUUUUUUAAUAGAGUUUGGCAUUGAUAUGUAGGUGUGUCAAGCGAUUAAAAAAUUAAUCGUGAUUAAUCACGUGAUUAAUUGCACUGUAAAUAAAAUACCAUUUAUUUAAAUAUGUCUGGCUGUUUUCUACAUUUUCAAAUGUAUUGAUUUCAAUUACA